rnacentral:lncRNA from 1 species
CAGGUAUUAACUAGUUUGAAACAGUUCUGAAAAGUUAGUUGAAAAUGAAAAUUUUGGCCUUGCUGAUAAAUUUAAGCUGUUUGAGCUAAGAAAAAUGAGGGGAAGAGAAAGGAACCAGGUGGUUUUGCCAUGGGAGGAACCAGGUGGUGUUACCAUUGUAGGGCAUAAAAUAGGGAUCUGUCAACCAGAGAUAUGAGCCAGUAAAUAACUGCAGGCUAGAAAAGUGCCAUUUCAGCAUGUUACUCCUGUCCAGAAACACAGUGACUGGGUGUGCACAACAGUGCCUGGAAACGUGGCCAUAUCGUUUCCAGACCUGAAUUGGUUUGUGCACCAUCAGCACAGAAGUACCCUCGCUGCCCUCAUCAAUCCCGGUAAUCCAAGGCUGCCAUGUGCCUGCUCAGGCAUCUCUGCAUCUACUGUGUGUUUUGGGGAAUGAUGAUCUUGUUCCAGCUGGGAUGGCUGCAGGUCUCCUUCCAGAGAAACAAUUAAUCUGAAUAAGAUGCCUGCAUUUUCUUUUUUUUUUUUUUUUUUUUUUCUUUUGGUUGCUGAAAGAGUGUCUGUCACUGCUGUUGGAUGCUUUCCUGCAAAGGUUCUUCUAGUCUGUAAUAUGGAAGAUGAAGAAAUUGCAAAACUCUCCAAUCAGGGCCAGAAAAAGGAUUGUCUCCCAGUGACAACUGCUAGCACCACAGGGCUAGAACUGGUAAAAGACAAAGCAAAACCGCCAUGCCUUUGGGGAAAUGACUCUGCUACCUUGCCAAGAAACAUGUUUGGCAGGUUUAUAAGCCAAGGUGGAGUUGAAGUUCUCUGAGCCCUUCUGCCCUCCUUGAAAGAUGUCAGGUGGGAACCUCAGCAAAGGUAAUAUCUUGAGCAGCAUCUCCAGGGUUGGGCAAACUGGUUCAGGUAGAAGAAGCUGCAGCUCACACUGAACCUUUGCCCAUUUCUUGAUGGGCCCAGCCUAAAUUGUGUCUUCUUCCCCCUCACAAACCUAAAUCUGGCACACAGUUGUCCUCAGAACAGAACCUUCAUAGAUGAUGUGAAAAGCAUGGCUGAUAUCUUAAAAUCUUUCUCUUGAAUGUCUGCACCUCUGCCCUCCCUUGAGGUUAAUUAUUUGAACGCCAGCC